GAGCUGAAGGGCGCGCGGUGCCGACAGGGAGCUUCCUUGGCUGGCAUGGCGGCGAGCGCGCUGCGAGGCCUGCCAGUGGCUGGCGGAGGCGAGAGUAGCGAGAGCGAGGAUGACGGCUGGGAGAUUGGGUAUCUCGACCGGACGUCUCAGAAAUUGAAAGGGCUGUUACCCAUUGAAGAAAAGAAAGAAAAAUUUAAGAAAGCAAUGACCAUCGGAGAUGUUUCAUUGGUCCAGGAGCUCCUAGAUUCUGAUAAGCAAAGUAUUUUGAUAACUGCAUGUUCUGCUCAUGGCUCAGAGGAACAGAUCUUGAAGUGUGUAGAACUACUACUUUCAAGAAAUGCUGAUCCAAAUGUUGCUUGUAGGAGACUUAUGACCCCAAUCAUGUAUGCUGCUCGAGAUGGUCACACCCAGGUUGUUGCUCUCCUUGUUGCUCAUGGAGCAGAAGUUAAUACCCAGGAUGAGAAUGGUUACACUGCUUUAACGUGGGCAGCACGUCAGGGUCAUAAAAAUAUAGUUUUGAAGUUGCUUGAACUUGGAGCUAAUAAAAUGCUACAAACCAAAGAUGGAAAGAUGCCAAGUGAGAUUGCAAAAAGAAACAAACAUCAUGAGAUCUUCAACUUACUUUCUUUUACUUUAAAUCCAUUGGAAGGAAAACUUCAACAGCUAACUAAAGAAGACACUAUUUGUAAAAUAUUGACAACAGAUUCUGAUAGAGAAAAAGAUCACAUUUUUAGUUCAUAUACAGCAUUUGGAGAUCUGGAAGUAUUUUUACAUGGUCUUGGACUUGAACAUAUGACAGAUAUACUAAAGGAAAGGGAUAUAACGUUAAGACACCUUUUGACCAUGAGGGAAGAUGAAUUUACAAAGAAUGGAAUUACCAGUAAAGACCAGCAGAAAAUUCUGGCUGCUCUUAAAGAACUACAGGUAGAAGAGAUACAAUUUGGAGAGCUAUCUGAAGAGACAAAGUUGGAAAUCAGUGGUGAUGAGUUCCUCAACUUUCUUCUCAAAUUAAAUAAACAGUGUGGCCAUUUAAUAACAGCUGUACAGAAUGUUAUUACUGAGUUACCUGUAAAUUCUCAAAAGGUAUUCUACAAAAGUUAUUAAGUGAAGAAAAGUAUGAACACUGAAGAACAUUCCAGAUAAGUUCAUAAUUCAAUAAAUAGUAUUGAUUUGCUGAAAUUACAUCGUUUGUUCUGCAAAAUCACAUAAGAUCUAAAUAAGUCAAUUUGUUUAAUAUUACUCCUUUACAUAUUGAUUUUAAAACUUUGUAUUCUUGCCCUCAAGAAAAAGAAAAUGAGUCAGACCAAAAAUUAAACUGAUCCGUGUAUUGAAUUUACCAUGUGUUCUUUUUUAAAAUAUAAAGUGACAGGAGACCCAAGUGAAAAUGGAAAUAAAACAGUGUGUUAUUUAAAAACCAUAUCAAUAAAAUAUUUUUAAAUAAAUUUAGAAUAGGAAGAGUGUAAGUGGCCGGGCAUAGUGGCUCACAUCCGUAAUCCUAACACUUUGGGAGACCUACGUGGGAGAAUUGCUUGAGGCCAGGAGUUUGAGACCAGCCUGAGCAGCAUGGUGACACGACCCUGUCUCUACAAAGAAUUUUUAAAAAUUAGCUGCGCAUGAUGGCGUGUGCCUCUAGUCCUAGCUGAAAAUUAGCUGGGCAUGAUGGCAUGCACCUGUGGUCCUAGCUAUUCAGGAGGCUGAGGCAGGAGGAUCACUUGAUCCCAAGAGGUUAAGGCAGCAGUGAGCCAUGAUUGCACCACUGCACUCCAGCCUGGGCAACAGAACAAGACACUUUCUCAAAAAAAAGAAAGAAAAAGUGUAAGUGGCCUGCAAAAGCAGCUUAUUUCAUGUGAUUAGGUUUUAGCUGUUUGUCUUAGUGAAAGUUUUUUAAUGCACUUGUUUUCCAGUGAUUUUUAUAUAACAUCAAUUAAUAUGAGAAUCAUCAUUUUAAAAACCUUCGUGAACUGAUUUGUUCAUCAUAAAUGUUAUUACUAAUAUUAAUCUCCAUAUAGAAAGUUAUAUAUACAUAUAUUCAGGAAAUGCAUUUGGCAAGCUCAUUUGAUUAUAUGUUUAUAAAAUUACUUAUUUUUGGUGUCAAUAUUUAUCCUAAACAAAAAAAUGCCUUUCAAUUAUAUAAUCUAAUGUUUAAGAAUGUUGUAUAAUCUUUGUGGAUAUAAAGUUGUAGAAAGUUAUUUCCAUUAUUUAAUGUUGAACUUUUGAAAAUAUUAACAGAUAACACUGGAAUGGGCUUCUCCCCAGAAUUUUACUUCAGUUUGUGAAGAAUUGGUUAAUAAUGUUGAAGAUUUGAGUGAAAAGGUCUGCAAACUAAAAGACCUAAUUCAAAAGUUGCAAAAUGAACGGGAAAGUGAUCCAACUCAUAUACAAUUAAGGGAAGAAGUAUCUACAUGGAAUAGUAGAAUUUUGAAGAGGACAGCUAUUACCAUAUGCGGAUUCGGUUUUCUUCUUUUCAUUUGCAAGCUAACUUUCCAGAGGAAAUAAUCCAAAUAUUUGUUUUAAGUUAUAUAUACACAUCUUAUUGAACCAUCCAAAAAUCAUUGCUUUUAACUAUUUGCAGCACAAUAUAACUUUACAUUCUUUGCCAAUAUUCCAUAGGAAAAAUUUUGACAAUGUGGAGUUUUUUUUUAAAAAGUGGUUUGUUACUUUGACUUAUAAAUACAAUUUGUUAUGUUUAUGUUAAUUGUGAUUAGGCAGUAAAGUAUAAGUAAUUUUUUGGUUUGAUCGUAUGUAAAUCACAUUCAAAAUUAAAGUUAUAUCGAAUA
rnacentral:sRNA from 1 species